AUGAACCUGCUUGGUGAGAUGAAGGCAAACGAUCCAAACUUCAACUACACAGUGCAGGUCGAUGAAGAGAGCCGCAUAAAGACACUAAUGUGGGUGACAAGCAGUGGGUGCAACCAGUACAGGUGUUUUGGAGAUGCAAUAACUUUUGACACCACAUACCGAACAAACUUGUACGAUAUGCCCUUUGGUCUGUUCGUCGGCGUCAACAACCACUUCCAGAGCAUAAUUUUUGGGGGGGCGAUGAUGAGGGACGAUAAAGAGGAAACAUUCAAAUGGAUUUUCAAGGAGUUUGUUCGCAUGGUUGGUGGGAAACAUCCGCAGACAAUACUUACAGACCAGGCACGGUCCAUGGAACUGGCAAUUGAAGCCGAGCUCCCAAAUACUGUGCACCGGUGGUGCAAAUGGCAUGUUCUGAAAAAGGCUAAGGAGUCCAUGGGUGUACUUUGGAGCAAGAACAGCGAAUUCAAGCUGGAGUUCCACAAGCUUGUGCAUCACAUGAUCACGGAAGAAGAGUUUGAGGAUGGCUGGAGCCAGAUGUGGGAGAAGUACUCUUUGAAGAAACAUCCAUUUUUGACUCAGAUAUAUGAGGUCAGGCAUAAAUGGGCAAAGCCGUAUUUCCGAGGGGUGUUCUGUGCUCGGAUGACGAGCACUCAACGGAGCGAGAGCGCCAACCAUUUGUUGAAAGGUUACGUGCCUCCAGGGUGUCCAAUGCAUUUGUUUCUGAAGCAAUUCCAGAAAUUGCAAUUUGACAGAGAGGCAGAGGAGAGUUUCCAGGAGAAGAGGACAUCGCUAAGUGGUGUGUGUCUUCGGGUCAACCUUCCAAUUGAGAAGCAUGCUAGCAAAGUCUACACCAGAGCUAUGUUCGAAAAAUUCGGGGAAGAGUUGUACAAGUGUGGGGCACAUGUGUUGGAUGAGGUGGUGCCUGGGAGGAUUUAUAAGUCGACCCACGUAGAAGCGGCAAACAGGGAGAAAUGGAGCAAAGUUGAAUUCAAGAUAGAAGUGAAUGAAGACGCGAGUUUUUUCAGUUGCGAGUGUGGUUAUUUUGAACAUGCUGGGCUAGUGUGCUGCCAUGCAUUGCAGGUGAUGGUGCAUUUCCGAUUGCAAAAAAUACCACAGAAGCAUAUACUUAAAAGGUGGACGAGAGAGGCACGUGACAUUCUUCCUGAACAUUUGGUUAGGUAUCAAAGAGACCGAGGACCUCCAGCUAGUGAUACAUUCAGGCAUCACACCAUGUACAUGAAAGCUCUGGAGUGUGUCGUGCUUGGAGACAGCAAUGUUAAGUGCUAUGAUGUUUUCAUGGCUAUGAUGAAGGAGGUUCAUGCGACUCUGCUUCCACUUAGCGUUGAUAAAGAUGGAAUGGGGCUUGCAGAGAGAGAGAGGCAGGUUCAGGUUGUAGAUCAAAAGGGGCUUGGAUCAACGGAUGGCGAUGAUGUGCUGAAGAAACAUACCUGCGACGGCGAAUCCAGUUGCUCAGCUGUUGGGCUGUCUGAUAGGAAGAGGCAAAGGGGCAGGCCGACGACCAGCAGGGACAAGGCUCCUUACGAACAACACCUUAAGAGGUCACGUUUUUGCACGAUCUGCAGAGAGCAGGGCCACAAGUGUACAACUUGUCCCCAGAGAGGGGAUUUGCCAAAGGCUCCAAGGAAGUUGCCGAAAUGCACGAACUGUGGUGUGGUUGGACACAGGCGCAAUACUUGCGGGACUAAGAAGAGCGGCCCAUUUGAGCCAAACUUCCUAUAG
rnacentral:rRNA from 1 species